UACAGAGGGGGCAAGCGUUAUUCGGAAUUAUUGGGCGUAAAGGGCGCGUAGGCGGCCUGGCAAGUGGAAGGUGAAAUCCCUCGGCUUAACCGAGGAACUGCCCUCCAAACUGCUUGGCUUGAGUCCGGGAGAGGUGAGUGGAAUUCCCAGUGUAGCGGUGAAAUGCGUAGAUAUUCGGCGGAACACCAGUGGCGAAGGCGACUCACUGGCCCGAUACUGACGCUGAGGCGCGAAAGCGUGGGGAGCAAACAGGG
rnacentral:rRNA from 1 species